rnacentral:ribozyme from 1 species
GAAAGAAAACCAGAACACACACACAUUAUACGUUAUGGUGUUCGCUCGCAAUAUUAAAUGUUAAAAAAUAUAGCUAAUUACCCUGAUAUCCGAAAAAAAAAAAAAAAGCG